GCCGCAACUAGAGAAAGCCUGCGCGCAGCAACAAAGACCCAACAUAGCCAAUAAAUAAAUAAAUAAAUGAAAAUAAAAAGUAAAAACAAGAUAUAAUGAAAAACAACAGAUUUUUUCAAAAAUUGUUUUGUGAUACCACCAGCCCUGCAGCCGCUCAUGCAGGCACCCAGCCUUGCUCAGUAGCUGAUUAGUCCUCACUUCAUGAGGCAGGGUCUGGCAGCCAGUUGGGCUGGGGGCCAAACCCACCCACCAGGACACUCAGAGUAGUUGGUUGCCCCACAACAGAAGGGCCCACUCAGCCCACGUAGGGGCACCCCUAGGGCAUAGAGUUCUGGUAUCCAAAGGGGAGUAUGCUAGGCCUACAUCUCCUACAUAGGCCACUUUUCCAAGAUCCAGAAACGUAAUAGGCAAGAUAUAGAAGCAAGCUAAGUGUCCAUCAACUUAAGUGUCCAGAUGAAUGGAUAAAGAAGAUGUACAAUGGAAUAUUACUCAGCCAUAAAAAAGGAAUGAAACCUUGCCAUUUGCAACAACAUGGAUGGAUCUAGAGAGUAUUACGCUAAGUGAAGUAAGUCAGACAGAAGAAGACAAAUACAGCAUGAUCUCACUUGUAUGAGGAAUCUAAAAAACAAACAAACAAAACACAAUGAGAACAGACUCACAGACACAGAGAAUAAAUGGUUGCCAGAAGGGAGGGGAGUGGAGGUGGGGGAAUAGGUGUAGAAGAUUAAGAGGUAUAACCUCUAGUUAUAUAAUGAAAAGUCACAGGGAUAAAGUACACAGCAUAUGGUUAAUAAUUAUUGUGACAACUUUGUAUGAGGACAGAUGGUUACUAGACUUACCAUAGUGAUCAUUUCAUAAUGUAUGCCAAUGUCAAAUCACUAUGUAAUACACCUGAAACGAACAUAUUAGUUAUAUUUCAAUUUCAACUAUAGUUCAAUAUUUGAAAAUGGCUUCCACUCCUUUGCGAUCUAUUCACCCCCCCAUUUUAAUAGCCAUGUUGGAUGGGUUGCAUGAAUGAGUUCAUUGUAAGGGUGGAUAUCGGCUCAUUAAUGCUGUUUAAAAAUAUUCACGUGCAACUUCCUGAGUUAAUGGUUUCAAACAUUUAAAUUCGUUCGUUGGAAAAUAAAUAAAAAAUGGAAAAUCUGUGCUUUUUUGCAUGUCAGACUCUGUUCUGGGCACCAAGAAGACAGACUCCCAGAGCCACAAUCCUCAACAGGAAGAGUCACAGCCUGCUGGGUGAGGCAGGUCACAGACCACCAGCCCAACGUCACGAUGGCUCUUGGAAUAAGAGUGAGGAGACACGAACUCUGCCUGGGAUCCUGGAGAAGCUUCCACAGAGGAAAUGAUGGUUAUCCUGCGUUAUAACGAAAGACGGAGACUUUGGAGGUGAGGAUGGAUGUUCACGCUGAGGGAGCUGAGGGUACAGACGUCGCUUUGGUCCAAACACUCUGGGAUUCAAUACCAAUUUAAGGCACUAUAAAUAUAGCAAAUGCUUAAACCGGAUCUUCAUGUACAAUUUACUGAAGGAGUCAAGCGUACAUUUCGGAACAAUUCAAAGCUCUAAUUUGGACUGUGGUCCUGGGGACGUGGUAAAUCCUCAAGAGUAAAAUUUAAGAUGUUUCAUCAUCCAUCCAAACCCCUUGACACACAGAUUUUCUUUACGCAAGGUUGUUCAGACACCAUAUUUUUUGUUAUUGAACGUGUAAUUUGACAAAUUGUUUUCUCUGUCUCAACUCUGGGAUUUAAUAGUUACAAAUAGGACCUUAAAAGGUAGACAUUCUUUACCUCCCCCCAUAAUUAUUACUUACUGUUUAUCACUCCCGCUCACUGGUCCUACCAACCGCUGUCCCCAGCAGGCGUACGCAAGUGUAACAGUUCUGUCCCGGUUGCCAUUCUGAAAAUAAAUUUGAUUUAAUUGUG